AAGUCGUAACAAGGUUUCCGUAGGUGAACCUGCGGAAGGAUCAUUAAAAAUAUUACUUAUACACCGUCUUAUUUUAAACAAAAAACUUUUGAAUCAAAUCUAUUUUUUAAUUUUAUUAAAACUUUCAACAACGGAUCUCUUGGUUCUC
rnacentral:misc_RNA from 1 species